rnacentral:rRNA from 1 species
GACGAACGCUGGCGGCGUGCCUAAUACAUGCAAGUCGAGCGAAUGGAUGGGAGCUUGCUCCCUGAAGUUAGCGGCGGACGGGUGAGUAACACGCGGGCAACCUGCCUGUAAGACUGGGAUAACUUCGGGAAACCGGAGCUAAUACCGGAUACAUUCUUUCUUCGCCUGAAGAAAGAUGGAAAGAUGGUUUCGGCUAUCACUUACAGAUGGGCCCGCGGCGCAUUAGCUAGUUGGUGAGGUAACGGCUCACCAAGGCAACGAUGCGUAGCCGACCUGAGAGGGUGAUCGGCCACACUGGGACUGAGACACGGCCCAGACUCCUACGGGAGGCAGCAGUAGGGAAUCUUCCGCAAUGGACGAAAGUCUGACGGAGCAACGCCGCGUGAGCGAAGAAGGCCUUCGGGUCGUAAAGCUCUGCUGUUAGGGAAGAACAAGUACCAGAGUAACUGCUGGUACCUUGACGGUACCUAACCAGAAAGCCACGGCUAACUACGUGCCAGCCGCCGCCGUAAUAC